CAUAUAUUCAAGAAAAGAGAAGUGGACUUCACGGUCCAAAGGAUUUGGAAUUGUUUUGCCGUAAUAAUUUAAUUAAUGACAUUGUCUUUGGUGAAUUGAACAACAUAAGCUAGGAGCAGCAACAGCAACGUUUUGCCUUGUGUUUUAUGUAGUUGCGUGUUUCUUGAAUGUUCGGGGCAGAAUAAGUGGGUUUUUGCUUGUAUAAGGUUGAAGUGAUAGUUGAGGAAAGUUCGUUAUUGAGUGCGUAUUGACUACAAGAGGUAUGUUAAGGCUAUUCCUUCUUUCAUUUUGGCAUGAUCUAUGAUAAGUACGAACGUGACGAUACUCAUAAUGAACCUACUCCUAGAUGUAGGAGCUCAUGUCCCUAUGUUUAUAUUGGUGUUGUUCAUAUCCUUAGUUCCUUGACUUCUUAAGUCCCGAAGGGGCAUCCAUAAGUUGUACGUUUUCAUAAUGAUGUCUAAAUCCUGAAGGGGACAUUCAUAAGGCUUCUUUAUUCAUAUACAUUUCAUAUUUGAUUUUUAAGUCUCGAAGGAGACAAAUGAAAAGGAGAAGAAGUUACCAUUUUGAACUAAAAGUUGCUCUGAAGGGAGUCUUUUGAUGUUUUACAAAGAUUAUCAUGCAUUUGCACACUUAUAUAUAUGUACGACAUGAUUUUAUGGGAAAGGGGGAAAGGAUUAUAGCGUUAUGUACGCAAACCACUGAUCAGUUGGUCUAUGAUGAUUAUGAUCCCUGAAGGGUCUGCCCGACGGGGCCAUAAUUCUAUUAUGCCCAAAGCAGCUGCGAGCAGGGAGAAGGUAUGCAUUAUAUAUAUACAUAUGAUAUUUUAGAAGUUCAUAUGCACAUGCAUGAUUCUUAGUGUUGGUUACAGGUACAGAUUGAGUCUGUUACUUUUUAUCAUUUCGAGUUGAGAUAUAUUGUUUCAGUUCUGCCUUACAUUAUUCGUACUGACGUCCCUUUGCCUGGGGGCGUUGUGUUUCAUGCCACGUAGGUAUAUACAGAUGAGUAGAGGACACUUGCUAUAGAAUGUUCCUAGGCAAUCAGCUGGAUUGGUGAGCUCUAUUUCUGUUCAGAGUGUUGCCGAGUCAGAGUACUUAUGUAUGUCCUUAAGUCAGAUGCAUUACGGUUAUGUUGGGGCCCUGUCCCAACUUAUGUUAUGGUACCUUGUUACAUAUUAGAGACUUUUACAGACAGUAUCCUGUGGAUAGUGCGUCGAGGUAUCGACACUUGUGUAAAGCGGUCAUCUAGGUCGAUGUGUUCAUAUGCAUCGAUUUAAAGAUUUUAUUGUGACUAAAGGUUUUCUUUGACUUAACUAUAAGGGAGAA